rnacentral:rRNA from 1 species
GAUGAACGCUGACAGAAUGCUUAACACAUGCAAGUCUACCAAGAAUCACUUCGGUGAGGAAUGGUGGCGGACGGGUGAGUAACGCGUAAAUAAUCUGCCCUUUAGACUGGGAUAUCCUUUGGAAACGAAGGUUAAUACCGGAUAUUAUGAGAUGGACGCAUGUUCAACUUAUGAAAGCUAAAUGCACUAGAGGAGGAGUUUGCGUCCCAUUAGCUAGUUGGUGAGGUAAAGGCUCACCAAGGCCACGAUGGGUAGCCGGCCUGAGAUGGUGAACGGCCACAAGGGAACUGAGACACGGUCCUUACUCCUACGGGAGGCAGCAGUGGGGAAUAUUGGACAAUGGACCAAAAGUCUGAUCCAGCAAUUCUGUGUGCACAAUGAAGGUCUUCGGAUUGUAAGGUGCUUUCAGUAGGGAAGAAAAAAAUGACGGUACCUACAGAAGAAGCGACGGCUAAAUAUGUGCCAGCCGCCGCAGUAAGAC